rnacentral:rRNA from 1 species
AAAAUUAGAGUGUUCAAAGCAGGCAGAUCCAAUUUUCUGCCACCGAAUACAUUAGCAUGGGAUAAUGGAAUAGGACCCUGUCCUCCUAUUUUCAGUUGGUUUUGGCAGCGCGAGGACUAGGGUAAUGAUUAAUAGGGAUAGUUGGGGGCAUUAAUAUUUAAUUGUCAGAGGUGAAAUUCUUGGAUUUAUGAAAGAUUAACUUCUGCGAAAGCAUCUGCCAAGGAUGUUUUCAUUAAUCAAGAACGAAAGUUAGGGGAUCGAAGACGAUCAGAUACCGUCGUAGUCUUAACCAUAAACGAUGCCGACCAGCGAUUAGGAGACGUUGAAUACAAAACACCACCAUCGGUGCGGUCGUCCUUGGCGUCUCGGUCCUUCACGGGGCCGGGGCGCGGGGGUGGCUAGCC